UACGUAGGGUGCGAGCGUUAAUCGGAAUUACUGGGCGUAAAGCGCGUGUAGGCGGACUGACAAGUCGGAUGUGAAAUCCCUCGGCUCAACCAAGGAAGUGCAUCCGAAACUGCUGAGCUUGAGUACUUAAGAGGAUCGCGGAAUUCCCGGUGUAGAGGUGAAAUUCGUAGAUAUUGGGAAGAACACCUGAGGCGAAGGCGGGAUGCUGGGCCGACACUGACGCUGAGGCGCGAAAGCCAGGGGAGCAAAGCGGG
rnacentral:rRNA from 1 species